UGUUGAAGAAUGAUUAUUCGCCUUAGGGUGCCUCCCCCAAUAUCAUGGGGGCUGAUCCAAAUCGGGGGAGGCACCUUAAGGCGAAUAAUCAUUCUUCA